rnacentral:misc_RNA from 1 species
AAGUCGUAACAAGGUUUCCGUAGGUGAACCUGCGGAAGGAUCAUUACCUUUCAAUGCAGAAGAGUUGAGAUGGUUGAGUAUUUCGCCUCUCAAUUCUCGCUGUAUUUUACCCUUGUUUUUCUCAUACUAUUAUUUCCUCGGCAGGCUCGCCUGCCGGGUGAAACAACUUCAAACCUGUUUAAUUUUCAAUCAGCGUCUGAACAAAUUAAUAAUUACAACUUUCAACAACGGAUCUCUUGGUUCUG